GAUGAACGCUGGCGGCAGGCCUAACACAUGCAAGUCGAGCGAGCGGCGGACGGGUGAGUAAUGUAUGGGGACUGCCCGAUAGAGGGGGAUAACUACUGGAAACGGUGGCUAAUACCGCAUACUAUCGGAUAACCCAUAUGGGAUUAGCUAGUAGGUGGGGUAAAGGCUCACCUAGGCGACGAUCUCUAGCUGGUCUGGGAGGAUGAUCAGCAAAACGGGUACUGAGACACGGCCCAGACUCUUACGGAGGCAGCAGGGGGGAAUAUUGCCAAAGGGGCGCAAGCUUGCUGCAGCCAUUCCGCGUGUAUGAAGAAGGCCUUAGGGUUGUAAAGUACUUUCAGCGGGGAGGCGUUACCCGCAGAAGAAGCACCGGCUAACUCCGUGCCAGCAGCCGCGGUAAUUC
rnacentral:rRNA from 1 species